GGAGGUCUUCCAGCAAGCCCUCGGAUUCGAUUCAACAAAGAUGGUUCUCUAUUGGCUGUUUCUGCUAAUGAAAAUGGGAUAAAGAUUUUGGCAAAUAAUGACGGUAUUCGCUUAAUACGCACUUUUGAGAACCUAGCUUAUGAUGCUUCCAGGGCAUCUGAAACAACAAAGCCUACAGUAAAUCCAAUAUCUGUAGCAUCAGCAAAUAAUUCUGGAUUUGCAGAUAGGGUGGCCUCUGUUGUUGGCAUCAGUGGAAUGAAUGGAGAUGCAAGGAAUCCGGUAGAUGUAAAACCUCGAAUAAAUGAAGAGCCUAAUGACAAAUCGAAGAUAUGGAAG
rnacentral:misc_RNA from 1 species